GAUGAAGAACGCAGUGAAAUGCGAUAAGUAAUGUGAAUUGCAGAAUUCAGUGAAUCAUCGAAUCUUUGAACGCACCUUGCGCUCUUUGGUAUUCCAAAGAGCAUGCCUGUUUGAGUGUCAUGAAAAUAUCAACCUUGACUUGGGUUUUGUGCUCUAGUCUCGGCUUGGAAUUGGGUGCUUGCCGCUUUUACGAGCGGCUCACCUUAAAUGUAUUAGCUGGAUCUGUCUUUGAGACUUGGUUUGACUUGGCGUAAUAAGUAUUUCGCUAAGGACAUUCUUCGGAGUGGCCUCGUUUCUAGGACGCUUGUCCGCUUUCCAAUACAAGUUCCACCUCGUGGACAUGACUUUUUAUUAUCUGGCCUCAAAUCAGGUAGGACUACCCGCUGAACUUAAGCAUAUCAAUAAGCGGAGGA
rnacentral:misc_RNA from 1 species